AUGAUUCAAAAUGAAUGGCGUCAAAGAUACAACAUAUGCUCAUGUACAUCCAGCCACAUCGUCGACCACUAUUUAUUCACCUUGCAACUAAUGUUCAUAUCAACAAAAUGGUUCAUAUUUUCAGUUUCAGAUGAAGGAUAUGGAAGAGAAAAUGAUGCAUGUAACAAGCCUUUAGACGUUUCCGAAAACACAAAACUAUAUGCAAGGUUUUUGAGUCGCCGACUAAUCGCCAAGUUGUUGGAGCGAGGUUGGCUUGCGCAGGCGACUUGGCUUGAGGAGCGAGUCGCGCGACUGGUAGGCUAG
rnacentral:rRNA from 1 species